rnacentral:siRNA from 1 species
CUUUGGGCCGGUCCAGCC